CUCAGGUCUGUGGUUGCAAGUCGAUGCCAGUUGCAGGCCAAACGAUCCACGUAAGCAGCUAAAAUUGGCUGUGAGCACGGUGCAGCUUAGAAGUAAGUCCUGCCGCAAAAAAAUUCACGCGAGAGGGGUAGUAGUGGGGAGCAGAAGCUUAGGAGCGAACCCUCCAGCAGGCGAGUGUGGGGGCGAAAACCAGGUCAGCUGAG
rnacentral:ncRNA from 1 species